ensembl:snoRNA SNORA24B small nucleolar RNA, H/ACA box 24
AUCCAUGAAUCCGUGGGACCUGUCUCCUGUGGCAGUCUCCCUUCCUAGCCAUGGAAGAGCAGCGUCUUGCUUUUUGGCAAAGCUUUCACUAUCUAAUUGGUGAAAGUAUCUGACUGGAGCAAGUAACACGU